CUCCCUCCCAGCCCCUGCCAUCUGGCUGCUGCCGGCAACCACACGGAACCAGCCCUUGGCUGCCACCCUUUAACUUGAAGUCUGGCUCCAGGGUUUGAAGAUUUAAUUCUAAACACAACAUUUAAAAUUCAGAAACGAAGAGGGAAUUCCAAGCCACCUGAGGGUGGUGGCUCCCGUGGUCUCCACCAUGAGCUAAGAACCUUCAUCCUCAUUCCUAAAGGUGAACAAGAGCCUGAGGGCGGAGAAGAGGGUGGGAUUCCCUAAGCCACGGUAUCCUGGAUGCACCCAAGCCCUCAGCGUGUCAAAGCUCAGCACCAAAGUACCAGCCAUGCAAAGUACUUCGUGAUGUGCCAGUGUCCGAGCUCCCCGUAAGCUGCAACAGUUACAACACUUGUAGCAACAUGUGCAAUGUGGCUCUAUAAACUAUCAGUGUAACCCCUGCACCAGCAAAUCUCCGGAAGUGAAAGUGACUGGGACAGCCCUUGCAGCCCCCCCAGGGACAGGUCUCCCACCAGCUUCCAAGGUAACUCUCAGCACAGGCUCCAAGAGUGAGCACUGGGGAGAAAGGCGCCUGCACCAGGGGUGAUCAGCUCUCUGAGCUGGUGAAAGGUGAGGGCACAUGGGUUAGAGAACAAACUCGAGACUGGAAGUGCAAAUGUCCUGAGGUAGGAGCACUGGCCUCAUUCACAGGAAAGUGAGCAGUUCUCCUGCACACGGGACAAGGAGACAGCUACUUAGGGGCCGGGCAGUUGGCAUUUAGUGCUUCCUGGAAGGCAGUGGUGGUCCAGUGUGCAGUCAAGGUACAGGCAGGACCGACAGUGGCGCUGGGAAUGAUUUCAGGUAGGACUCUGCAAGGUGGUGAGCUUGAAUCUAGCUUACAGAUAGAUCAGCAUGGCCAGAAGUCCCACGUCCAAAGCCAAACUCACUCUGCUCAAGUGACUGCUGUGGCCUGGAUGGGCCCCACCAGGUUCCCCUCCUAAAGCAGACUUUAGGCAGCUCCGAAGUCCUUCAUUGACCAAAGGUAGAAACACAUCUCCUCUAUGCCUGGAGGCCAGAGGAAUCAAGAGAGGCCAGAGCGAGGAAGUCAAGAGCUUAGUGAGCAGCGCCAGUGCCUGGAUAAGAAACGGUCUCACUGGUUCUCACACCAGAACCUUGCUCAUACCAGGGAACCCAGGAGGGGUUCCACGCAUCAGUACAAGACACUGCAUCCACCAGAGAGACUGUAGGCAGCUCCUCUUUAUGACCCGUGCUGGACAGGCAGGGACCAGAUGGGCAGGCGUUAAACACCUGCACACGGGGACUGCCUCAGACGAACGCAGAGCUCUUGUGCUUUUAAGACACUCCCUGAGCGUUUUAUAAGGGAAGGUCCUCUCUAGGCCGACACUGGCUGAGUCUUGGACACAAAGCAAGAAUAUCAAGAGACUUCCUUUUGGCUUCUUGAUCUUGGGAAGCUCACUCCAGCUGCUACCCCCACACUGUGCAACGACCUCAUGUGGCUGAUCACAUGACCUCAGACGUUAGGGCCUUUGAGCCUUUGCUUUCUUUCUGCCUCCAGGUCUGAGCUGCUUAGGGACAAGGCUCCUUCACCGCUGGCCCAUCUCCAGCCCCUUCAGCAGCAUACAGCAGCUCAUUUAUUUGACAAGCAAACGUACAACGGCCCAGUCUCCCAAUGCCACCCUCUUUCCUUUCCCUGGCACUCAGACACGCAUGGCCAGGUAUGAUCAAGCUGAGGCAGGGGCUCCUGCAUUACAAAGUGAUUCUUGGCAUGGAGUCCGAAUGGUCAGAGGCAGGAGGCCAGCUCAGUCAUCAGACGACCUUGGGACCUCAGUCAGGCUACCCAGGCCGUUCUCACAGGAAGUCCCUUUCCCAACUUCAUCACAAUGUCUCUGUGAACUGGGGCCGAUCAGACCUGCACCCUUCUAGAUGUUAGGGCUGGGGCAUGGUGUUUGCUGUGUUGUUUGCCCCAAGAUGCACUUCCAAUUGACACCACGCAACCCAGAAAACUAAAGGAUUGAUUGAUAGCUGUGUCCCAUGAUUUUCUGAAGCAGCCUCCACCACACCCCUCCCCACAUCCAGAGUCCAGGUCCCCACAUCGGCAGAAAGCAACCCAUCUUGGAGGAAGGCAAGUUCAAUGGAGCUAUAAAUACUUCCAAAGCUGCCAGGGAGUUGGGCUUUCUGCAUGAGCAGGCCCCGCUGGAAAGGGAGGCGGCUCGCCAGAUUUGUUCCGAAUUAUGAAAAUAGAUGUUGUCUCCCCGCCACAUCUGUUUUGCCUGACACAUGGGCAGCAAUUCGCCUCCUAAAUACGGCAGUGCCCAGAGCCAGCUCGGCUCCUCAACUACAGAGAAGAAAACAGGGAGGGAAGAGGGGGGAAGCCCAGUCAUCCCAGACUUUGCUCAACUCCUCUCUUGGGAGUCUGUGCUGUGAGUGGCCUUCAGUUCUCCUUGAGCAACGUGAGACUGAAGUUAAGGCGGGAAGGGGUCCCUUGCCACUUAAAAAGGGGUCACUAGACAUGACUGUUAUUAAAAAGUACAUCACCACCACCAUCCUGAUGGGUCCCUCCCAGCUGCAGCCGAGGGCACACUCUUUUAAACAUUUUAUCAGGGGUUGGGGCGGGGGCGGGGAGUGGGGGAGAUUUGCCAGGACAGGCAUAUAGAUGGUGGUCAAAGGACAACUGAAAAUCAGUUCUAUCCUUUCACCACCUGUUUCCUGAGACUCAAGCUUAGUGGUAGGUGUCUUUGCCUGAGGGUGCAUUUCUGACUAGGUGAGCAAGGCCAAUUCAGGAAGAGAACAGGCGCACCACCCAACGUUGGCUCGGUGACGGGUCCCUGUCAUCCGCUCCACUAAUGACUGCAGGACAGACCUAAUUAUGGCCCAGUUGUGGCUGUCAGUGGCGGACCCAGCACUUGAGAGUGGCUCAGAUCUUAAGGCAUGUGCCCAUGGGGGUUUUGGGGAGCAGGCACAGAAGUUAGGGCACACCUGCCUUCUAGACACACAGGUGCUGUCUGUCCACCCUGCGUUGCUCCUUAAAAGUCUCUUACCCUCAAACACCAACCACCUUUCAGAGUUUUCGAUUUAAGGAAAAGCUCUCAGAGACAUCUCAGCUUAAUUACAGCAAACCCAUCCUCUGCUGCCCAGGAGUCUGCUGACCUUUCAGCUAGGGGAGUGAGGGAGGAGAGAGGAUGAGGAGGGAGAGGGAAGGGCCUCGGCCUGGGAGCACACUGGUGUGGCAAGAAGGCUGGAGCCGGUUCACCCCAAGUCACAGUCACAGCUGGAGACUCCUGCUGCAAGGAGGGUGGAGUUUAUGUCUCACUAUGUGAGUGAGAGUCUGGCUGGAGCUGGCCAGGACAGGGUAGGCGUCUAUUCUCAGCCACCACUCUGGAAGAGGCCUGCAGGGUCUGUUACAACCCCAGCUCUGGGACUAGACAGACGGCUGGGCCUCAGCUCCGCUGUUUUUCCAAGUCCAGGGACUGUGGCUGCCUCGGAGGGAGGGGAAGGGCUAGCAGCCUUCCUCUUCACAGAGUUGGGGAGAGGUCAGUAGAGGAGACAGACUCUGGCUGUCUUGGCAUCGAGGGACUUGACUGGUACCUCAGUUCCUGUGGGAAUGGGUGGCUGGGGGACCCAGGCCUCUCCACCAAAGCACUCACCUCCUUUUUAUCCCUGGCAACAAUGAUCCAGUAGCUACGGCAACAAGGCUAAUUAAUGACUUUAUUUGGCGAAACAAAGCCCCAGACCCAAGUUAGUGGUCCCAAUAUUUACUUCCUUAAGGAGCCAUUUUCUGGUAUCUGUGCAAGGAAGAAAAGGAGGGAGGGAGAACAGAAGGCAAAAAAUAUUUGGCAAAACAAGUUACAGAAGGGAGUGUGUGCCUCGCUCACAUUCGGAAAGGAGAACGCUGAGAAUGACCUAGCGUGCACCCCCACUUGCCCCUGGUAUAAAAUUAGCACAGUCAAGUAAAUGUGUUAUAAACACAAAGACCCUGCCAGGAGGCAAAGUGCUUUAAUUUAAGGGGGUAAGGAGAGAACAUUCCGGGGAGGGGCAGGCAGUCCACCGGGAAGUGUGGUGUCUGCAACCUUCCCACUUAGCACAGGCGGAGGGAAAAGCCGUUUCCCCCGAGAACACGCAUCUGCGGGACGUCUAGACAGUCAUAAAGAGGACACUUACACAAGAAAGACGCUGUACAGCUCGGUCCCUUGGCCUUUGCCAGGGCCGUUGCACUCGUUGCUAACUGCCCAAGCAGGCGGAAAAAAAGAAACAAGAAAGGCUGGUGUGGGCUGGUGGAGGCAGGGCCCACGGUGCUUUAUGAGCCAGUGUUUUGAAAUCCUACUUGAAAUAAGCCGAUGAUGGGUUGAAGUCUGAGAGGCACGCGUCUGAAGCCACGUGGACUCUGAGGCCACUGCUACUGUCAUUUCCUCCUCAGAGAACAAUGGAGUAGAGAGGAGGAAACCUCUGUCUGUCAGCCCCAGGCACUCCUGAGUUCUUUGGACUAUCCACUUGGACAGCCAUGCAACAGCCCAACCCCCACAAGACAGGCAGCUCCAUCCUGCGGUCUAGGCUGUCUGGGAGCACAGCAGCCUCUGAGUUCACCACCUCUGAGUAACCGCUUCCUCAAGACAUGACUCACAUCUGUCUGGGGUCACCCACACCCUCAUUCCCCGCGGAGGCACGCAGGCCCAGGUGAGGCGGGUACAGGCAGAGGCACUCCGGCCUGCCCACAGCGGCUUUUGGAACCACGGAGUCCCAGAACUGCCAAACCUACCAUGACUACAGGCCCUGUCCUGUGAAUCCUCUGGGCUGAGACCGAGCCUGAGGCCUUGGCCUGAGACACCAUGGGGCUCAGAAGCAGGUUGCAAAAUGUCUCUCACCUGGAAUUCUAUGUAGUCCAUUCCCUUGCGGCCCAGCCUGGCCCAGCCCUUCUUCAGAAGUGGCUGCUCCUUGGGUCACCCACAUUCCAAUACAGGGGUCUCAAAGUCAUGAGGCCGGGUCUAAGAGCUGACAAGCCAAGGGCAGUGCGUAGGACCACGGAACCCACAGGAACUCACAGCACAACAGCCUCUGGGGACACGUGUGUGUGUUGGGGGGGGGGCUGUGGGGGGCUUGACAGACACAAAAUCCGAGAACUGGGUGACUUGGGGUGAAUGUCACAGCAGAGGCUCAGGCUGCAAUCCUUGUUGCUGUCCCCCCCACCCCCUCCCCACUGUGAAGGAGUUUAGUGUGCAGAGAGAGCCUUUCAAAUCCUCUGACAGAAAGAAACUAAGCAAAAGGGAGAGGAUAUUGGGGGGAGGGGGUUAAAGCCUGGAUUCAGAUCCUGUUUCUGCCAUUGCUCCAGAGCUUUUAGGACCUGCCUGCCAGCACCCUGCCUGCUGCUCCCUGGUUCCCUCUUGGCUUUGUCCUAGCACCCGUGGGUCACAGUGACCCCUUUUCCUUUGGUUGCAACCCAAUACUGGACGGUUCCUGUUCUCUCCUGCUCCGAGCCAUGGGGAUCACUGCCCGCUGGCCCGGUGGGUGACCCUUCCAAGAAGGGAAGGGUGUGGCAGAAGGGCAGGCUUCUCAGCCAGCCAAAAGGGACACGCAUAGACCCAAAAGUCUGAGAGGGUAAAGGGAAAGAGUGAGGCCUCCAAUCAGGCACACCCCUGACACCAUGACAGGUGGCUCUGACGCUUGGCUCUGCCUCAGCAAGCAAAACCCAUGCUUCGGGAACCCUCAGCCCAGGUUCAAAUCUGCCUUGCAACUGUGUGCUGAGUGGAUCUUUGGCAAGUGACUUGGCCCCGCCUCCUCGUGUGCACAGAGGUUGCCAGGAGGAUUAACGAGGUAGGGCAUGCCAAACGCUGUGAGCGGCUGCCACUGCAAGGGUUUAAAAAGCCACCACUCGCUGUGGGGGAGUUGCCUAGAACAACCUCCCAGCAGACAGAGCCCGUGUGACAUGUCAGGUUUGUUCCUUGAAUCCUGACAACGUCUCCCAGGGUCCCCCCUUUCUUGCUCUCAUUUCUGAAGCAUCUCUGACUCUAGAGAAAAACAAGGGGCAAGAUAAAAACAGAAGCUUCUAUCAGUUGACCUGGGGUUCGGGGUGCUGGUUUAACCCUAACCCCAUGCUUUAGUCCAUGUCACCUUGGAACGGGUCUCUACAACAUACUGGGGGUCAGGAAGACCCCAGAGCUGAGGGUAGCGCAGUUCAGGGACUCAGCAAAGGACAGCCUGUGUCUUGUUAAGCAGCCCAGGAGACCCUACAUUGACAAGGAGAAGCCAGUCAGAGGGCCUGGUGACUUCUAGUGGGAGUAAUCCCCCUCCCCGCCAGGACUCUGCACCACCCUGGAGCACUACGUCUCAGUGCUCCAAUCCACUCCGAGGACACCAGGAACACCACUUGAGUAAGGAUCUGAGCCCAGCAAGAGGGUGCUGCAAUUGAUUAGCAAUGUCUGCCACGAGCAGCAAGUGGAGUACUUGAUCGAAUGGCAGGCAUCAGACAGCCCCAAUCUAUACUUUUGAAAGUCACAAGGUAGGUCAAUAAAGUUUACCAGCAAGUCUUCAAGUGAACUUUCUUGUGCUCCAGGCCAGUGACUGGACAGAUACUGCUUAACAUGUUCCAUGCCCGGCCAAGGAGCUGGAGACCUGAUAAUACUCAAGCCAGGAGUAUAUACUGCAGAGUGGGCAACCCGGCAGGAAGCCAUGCUGGCGAGGGAUCAUAAGAGGAGGUCAGCCAGGAGGAAAAAUCACACAGGAAGAGAAAAACUCAGGUUAUUAUCAGCCCUCAGAUCUGAACUUACAUGUGGGGCCUCGAUUCAAGGCCAGGAAGCCAGCUCUGUAAUUACACCUCCGGGCCACGUGGCAAGCAGCUCUAAUUGCCUCCAAGAUGGCACCAAAGCGACCAUUUUAAUCUAGAGGCCCAAAGCAACUAGUAAAAUUAGGUAACAAUAACACAGCAUGCAACAUUCAUAGGCCCGACAGCAGUGCAAAGACCCCAGCACAGGGACGCCUAGUACUUAUCACCAGAGAGACGGGGCAGGCACAGUAGACUUCUUUCAUAGAAGCCACACAGAGCUCCAGACCCACACUCUGACAUAGUCUGUGGGUCUCCAUCAUCCUAGCUAAGGCAACUGCCACAUCCAAGUCCGGGUUGUGGUACACACCCUUCUUCUCCUACUUCCACCCCAUAAAUAGAUUAGAGAAAUAGCUCCUUCCGAUGGCUGUGACCCCGGGGCCCGCUGAGCUCACCCCUCCCAUCCCCCAUCCUCCCCCACCCCCCUGAAUCACUGGUGGCUCACCACAGCUGCGUUCCCGAGUGACUGAACGAUAAGGAGGCGGCACAGACACCAAUAAAUGAAUCACGCCUUCCGCAAGACCAAACCUUUGGCUUUUGCAGAAACCACUUACAAAGUAGAAAGGAAAAGAACAAAGAAAUCACUCUGGCUGUUUGCGCAAAGUUGAUUCAUGGGUUCGCAGAAUUAUUACCGGCUAAAUUGUUUGUGGAGAGGCAAUUUAGAGCCAUGACCAGACGAAGCUCACCAGCCAGGGAACUGGGGACUUGAAAAAUGGGAGAGGGGCUGGGGGUAGGGGUAUGUGCACGUUCCUGGAGGAAGGAGGGUUCCAGGUCUGAGGAGCCUCUUCCUCUGUCACUGACUGCCUUAAAUUCUGUGGGUGAGCAGGUACCGGGCAUGUAGAGGAAGUCAGAAGUUCCAUACAGAGUCUUAUCAAGUCCAGACACAGAGGCAGAACUCAGCCCUUUGGUUGGAAGACACAGCGACCAAACCCACAGAAGAUGGUUUAGAGCAGUCUUGUAACUGAAGUGGACCCCGUUCAUUGGAAAGGGGGGCUCUCCAACAAGUCACCCCAUGGGCUGGGGCUGGAAUCUCAUCAGGAGGCUUCUGCCGUCUGUUUAUUCACAGUCUCCGGUAAGGGGGAGCCGCAUUCAGGAGAAUUCGUUGUAUCUUCCACCUGUGUGCUCCCAGGCAGAGCCCCACUUGGCAUCGGUGCCUACACCCCCACACCGUUCCCUGCACGCUCUCUCCCCUGGAGAGCUUCUCGGAUAACUUCUCCAGUCACUGCAGCACAGGAGCUCGGAGGCUCUCAGGACAGCGGGACCUACAGCAAGGCGGGUUGAGCUUAUCAAAGAUCCUCUUGUUUGAGACUGUCGGGAGCCAGAUCCCUUAGGGACCACUCUGUUCCGUGGGACACUCACUGUUCGGUGGGACACUGUUUGGUGGGACACUCACUGUUCGGUGGGACACUGUUCGGUGGGACACUCACUGUUCGGUGGGACACUGUUUGGUGGGACACUCACUGUUCGGUGGGACACUGUUUGCUUGGUGGGACGCUGUUUGGUGGGACACUCACUGUUCGGUGGGACACUGUUUGCUUGGUGGGACACCACUUAUAUGGUGGUGCUUUGAGGGACCUGAGGCACACAGUGCCUUUCUUGGAAUCUAGUCUUGAUGGGUACUGGGUGAUCAGGUAGCCACGACCACUGCGACUGGAAGAUCUCUCAGGGGAAGGACAGACGGUUUUACCUUUAUUUUCUUAAAAAUGGACUUGGCUUCCGACUGCCCUUCUUCUGCCUAGGACAGCCUGGAAGCUGACUUCACCUGCCCACGCUUAUGGCAACUGGGGCGGAUGGAAGGCUAGAGCCUGGUGGGAAACACCACCUCUUGGGGGAACCCACACACACACAUACACGUUUAAACAGACGACACACGCACGUGUUUGUAUACAGACAUUCUUUUUUCAUGAUUAUUUACAGACAUGGAGCUAAGUCGUUACGAGGGCCAGUCGCAUGGCUCAGCAGGUAAAGGUGUUAUUUGCCACCAAGCCUGGACGUCUUGAGUUCCAUCCCCUCCGGCCACAGUGGAUAAGGCUAACAGACUUCCUCAGGUUGUCCUCGGAUUCCCACACAGGCACCCUGACGGUCGCAUUCAUGCAUACCAAAGAUAUCACUGCUUUAAGAUGUGUACAGAGUCGAACCUGGACACACACACACACACACACACACACACACACACACACACACACACACAUCUCUGGUUCUCAUCACUUUGCCUGCACGCUCUCAGAGCCAGAUCCCUCAGGGACCGACAGAGCUCUUGCGGCCCUGGCUAAUGAAACACUGUUGGUAGCAGCAUAGGUGACAGAUGCCACAGGCACACAGACCCUAGACGGUCCCUCUGAGAACACUGUCCCCUGGCAGCCAUGGGAAACCUGGUGACCAGCACAAACCCACUCUCCCACCGGCUGUCUGUUACCCACAUCUGUCAUAGCGCCGAUCGAUCGUGGGUCCUGCGGGUUCAGCAGGGUCACACAUCCUACUGUCGCCCUGAAGAUGUGUGUUAGGGACAGGCAAAAUAUAUGGUGGUUUCUCCAAACCCCAGCCACGUGACUCUCUGGAUUUGGGCUGUGCCAGUCCAUCCCGGAGGGAGCUCGGUGCUAUCAAAAAGGGAGAAGGGAGGUAGACAUUGGACAGAAGAACUAGGAUUCUCUUGUUCUUGCCUCUGUGAGAAACAAGUUCCUAUGAGAAAGCUGAACCCUGGGCUUGGGGAUUUAGCUCAGUGGUAAAGCACUUGCCUAGCAAGCGCAAGGCCCUGGGUUCAGUCCUCAGCUGGGGGGUGGGGGAGUAUGGGGGGGCAAGCUGAACCCGACAGGGCUACCAUCUCAGCUACUCAAAGACUAAGGCACAAAGACUACAAGUUCCAAGCAGGUCUAGGCUACAAGGCCACUCUAGACAGAUCAGUGAGACCCUGUUGGGCUCGAGGAUGUAGCUCAGUGGUAGUGCCCAUGAUCACCGCUUAACUCCUUGAGUAACUCACAGAGUAUCAAACUUUCUUCAAACUCACAGGGCUCUGCCUGCCUUUGCCUCCAGAGUGCUGGGAUGAAAGGUGUGAGCUGCCAGGCCGGACUCCUCCCAUAUUACCUCAGGAGGUCAGCGGCUUGCUCUCCCAGUCCUUUCCUCAGGGUCUCCAUGCAGGAGAGACAGUACUGUAUUUUUGCCGUUCUGACACCUUUAGUAGGACCGCGACAACAGCUGGUUAACCCCAGGUUGGGAGUCAUCUGGGUUGCGGAAGGAAGGCAUGGGCGCAGAUUUCAGCUCCUACACCUUGACUCAGCUUUGAAAUCUCUUGAGGCAGGUGGGUAGGAGGACAGGGGCACAGCUUCCUGCCCCAAAGACUGGGAACUUCAGAGCAUUAGACAUAACUUGUACCAGGAGAGCUUAAUCGGCUGCCUUCACAACCCCACAAGGUGGGUGUCUUGUCUCCCUCCACCUUCGUGGAGGGGUAAGCGGAGAUGCAGGAAGGAUCACUGCUGGCCUCAAAACAGAAGGUCUUCAAAGCCACGUCCUGACCUGCCUGGAGUAUUCAAACAAGCAAGAAUGAAUGCCUCAGCUCCUAGACACUCUGCGAGUCAACACGGACUCUCUCAUCAGUAGGAUUCGGUGACAGACUACUGGGUGAGAGCAGUGGUGUGGACCCCAGCCCCUGCCACUCUGAACUCCCUCCCACCCUGCCUGCGUCCCUGGUUAGCCAAUGCCUAGGAGGUGCCCCACCAGGCCCGGGGAGGAUAUUACAAGGAACAGACACAGACUCCAGACUCAGCCUCUUUGACACUGGUGACUAAAGGCAAAAAAAAAAAAAAAAAAAAAAAAAAAAAAAAAAAAAAAAACCAGUUACCAAGUGACUGCACAAACACCUGACUUCCAGGGCAGGUGUGAAGGCACAGGACCAGAAGCCCAGUUGGGGCCCUUCCAAUCUCAGCCCCAGGAAUGGGCUCUCGCUGGGCUCUUCAGAGGAACAUUCAGCGGCUCUUGGAGCGCUCCCAGCUGUCACAUCACCUGAAUGACAGCCACGAGAGCAAGGCAGGAGAGUGGGACAAAUGCUAUCAAGUGCUAGAAGGCAUCCUGCGUCCUGUGAUGUCCCCAAUAAUGUCUGGAUUUGGUCCCUCUGGGGACAUCUGUCAGUCCUGUGUCAAAUCCAGCCGUAACACGUGCUGUGCUGGUGUCCCAGAGAGACGACUCCCCACACAGUCUAAGGGGCAAACACAUUUCCAGGGAAUGUCCGGGCCUGGCUAAGUGGAAUGGCCCGGCCCUGGCAGCUUACUGUUAGCAGCUCAUGGGCUAAGCACACUUACCAACAAAUCCUACAUAGGAGUUUGCUAUCUGAGGGCUAGCGAGGCCCUGAAAUGGUAAAUCCUGCAAAGGACACUGGGUACGAUGUGGGAGGGAGGCACCUAAGGGUGAGUGAGCAUGGGAUCCCGGCUGUGUGACCUCAGACAAGCGUCUUCCCCUCUCAGAUCCCAUUUUCCUAUCUGCAUAUUGGCAGUAACAGUUGCUUCUCUCACUGGGUUGUUUUUAAGACCAAGGGGGCGGGGGGGGGGGAACGCAUCAGUAGUACCUGGUGCACAAAAACCUCUUCCGGAUCCAACCGGCAAAAGGAAAAGAAGGAACCAUCUACCAGUCUCUCAGGGAACAGGGCAGGGAAGCCAUUUCUGCAGCUCCUAGAAAGCUGACGCCCCAAACUUUUGCAGGUUCCAUCGUGCUGGAAGCCAUGGUAUGAGCAAAAGUCACCCUCCUGGGCAUCGUCCCCAGCCUGGUGACAGCGGCUUCUGCCAGUGACCGGAGAGCCACAGUGACAAGGCCCUGGUGAGACCAUCCCACCCCCACCCA
rnacentral:sRNA from 1 species